rnacentral:rRNA from 1 species
CCACACCUAAAAAACUUUCCACGUGAACCGUUUCAACCCAAUAGUUGGGGGUCUUAUUUGGCGGCGGCUGCUGGCUUAAUUGUUGGCGGCUGCUGCUGAGUGAGCCCUAUCAAAAAAAAGGCGAACGUUUGGGCUUCGGCCUGAUUUAGUAGUCUUUUUUUCUUUUAAACCCAUUCCUUAAUACUGAAUAUACUGUGGGGACGAAAGUCUCUGCUUUUAACUAGAUAGCAACUUUCAGCAGUGGAUGUCUAGGCUCGCACAUCGAUGAAGAACGCUGCGAACUGCGAUACGUAAUGCGAAUUGCAGGAUUCAGUGAGUCAUCGAAAUUUUGAACGCAUAUUGCACUUCCGGGUUAGUCCUGGAAGUAUGCCUGUAUCAGUGUCCGUACAUUAAACUUGACUUUCUUCCUUCCGUGUAGUCGGUGGAGGAGAUGUCAGAUGUGAAGUGUCUUGCGAUUGGUCUUCGGACCGGCUGCGAGUCCUUUUAAAUGUACUAAACUGAACUUCUCUUUGCUCGAAAAGUGGUGGCGUUGCUGGUUGUGAAGGCUGCUAUUGUGGCAAAUUGGCGACUGGUUUGUCUGCUGCGGCRUUAAUGGAAGAGUGUUCGAUUCGUGGUAUGGUUGGCUUCGGCUGAACAAUGCACUUAUUGGACGUUUUUCCUGCUGUGGCGUGAUGGACUGGUGAACCAUAGCUCGGUGGCUUGGCUUUUGAAUUGGCUUUGCUGUUGCGAAGUAGGGUGGCAGCUUCGGUUGUCGAGGGUCGAUCCAUUUGGGAACUUAAUGUGUACUUCGGUAUGCAUCUCAA